UACUUCGAUGAGAGAGCAAAGGAAGAUCCAGAUUUCUUCUACAGGAUAAGGUUGGACGAUGAGGACCGUGUCAGGAACAUGUAUUGGGUGGAUGGUGCUGCAAGGAGAGCCUACAAACAUUUCCGAGAUUGCAUUUCAUUCGACGCGACGUACCUCACCAAUAUGUACAAGAUGUCAUGCGCUCCGUUCAUAGAAAUAAAUAACCACAAUCAGUCAUUGCAGUUCGGCUGCGGGCUCGUUCGGAACAAAGACACGGAUGGGUACGUCUGGUUGUUCAAGACCUUCUUGGAGUGCAUGGAUGGACUUGCGCCGAUGAACAUAAUAACAGACCAGGAUUUCAGCAUGCGUGCAGGCAUAGAGGAGGUCUUUCCGUUGGCAGUGCACAGGCACUGCAGGUGGCACAUUAUAAAGAAGGCUGAGGAGACGCUAGGACCGUUCUUUGCUGACCGUCCAGAGCUGCACAAGGCAUUCGAGCUGUGCCUGGACCACAGCUUGACGGUCGAGGAGUUUGAAAGGAGCUGGAUGGCCAUGGUUGAAACACAUCAAGUCCAAGACAACGAGACGCUUGCUAGCCCGUGGGAGAAGCGAAUGUACUGGGUGCCCGCCUACUUCAUGCAAUGCUUCUUCCCCUUUCUGCAGACUACGCAGCGCAGCGAGGGGUUCAAUGCUGUUUUGAAGCGAUACGUCAGUCCUGGCAACUCAUUGCUACAGUUUGCCAAGCAGUACACAGCUUUGCAAUAA
rnacentral:rRNA from 1 species